rnacentral:rRNA from 1 species
AACGAACGCUGGCGGCAGGCCUAACACAUGCAAGUCGAGCGGACCCUUCGGGGUUAGCGGCGGACGGGUGAGUAACGCGUGGGAAUAUGCCCUUCUCUACGGAAUAGUCCUGGGAAACUGGGGGUAAUACCGUAUACGCCCUUUGGGGGAAAGAUUUAUCGGGGAAGGAUUAGCCCGCGUUGGAUUAGGGAGUUGGUGGGGUAAUGGCCUACCAAGCCGACGAUCCAUAGCUGGUUUGAGAGGAUGAUCAGCCACACUGGGACUGAGACACGGCCCAGACUCCUACGGGAGGCAGCAGUGGGGAAUCUUAGACAAUGGGGGCAACCCUGAUCUAGCCAUGCCGCGUGAGUGAUGAAGGCCUUAGGGUUGUAAAGCUCUUUCAGCUGGGAAGAUAAUGACGGUACCAGCAGAAGAAGCCCCGGCUAACUCCGUG